GACGAACGCUGGCGGCGUGCCUAAUACAUGCAAGUAGGACUCAGUUGCGAACGGGUGAGUAACGCGUAGGUAACUGCCUAUUAGAGGGGGAUAACUAUUGGAAACGAUAGCUAAUACCGCAUACUAGUAGAUGGACCUGCGUUGUAUUAGCUAGUAGGUAGGGUAAUGGCCUACCUAGGCGACGCUACAUAGCCGAGCUGAGAAGGUGGUCGGCCAAAAUGGGACCGAGAAAAGGCCCAGAAUCCUACGGGAGGCAGGAGUAGGGAAUCUUCGGCAAUGGGGGGAAACCUGGCCGAGCAACGCCGCGUGAGUGAAGAAGGUUUUCGGAUCGGAAAGCUAUGUUGUGAAGGAAGCGGUAUUUAAACAGAAAGGGACGGCUAACUACGUGCCAGCAGCCGCGGUAAUUC
rnacentral:rRNA from 1 species